rnacentral:rRNA from 1 species
UUUGUUGCUAGUAAGAUUGCAGGCUGCAGUUCUCACUUGUGGGAUGCUGUGUACUGUGUCUCUUACUACUCGGUUGGGCUUUGUGUAGUGCUCAGAAUCUUAGCGUGGACUGGCUGAAGGGUUGCGACCUGGACCAUGUUCUUGCCUACUCUUGGCGCAACAUAACUGCUUGACCAAAUAGUUCAAUUUUACCCGUCUUGAAACACGGACCAAGGAGUCUAAUGCGUGUGCAAGUGUAAGGGUUUGACACCUGACAGCUCAACAAACGUGACUGCUGGGAUCCUUGCACCAGCAACCAACUGAUCGAUUAGGAGAUGUUUGUGUAUGAGCACACUUACUAGGACCCGAAAGGUGGUGAACUAUGCCUGAGAAGGGUGACGUCAGGGGAAACUCUGAUGGAAGCUCGUAGCGCUACUGACGUGCAAAUCGUUCGUCUGACUUGGGUAUAGGGGCGAAAGACUAAUCGAACCAUCUAGUAGCUGGUUCCCUCCGAAGUUUCCCUCAGGAUAGCUGGAGCAGAUCAGUUUUAUCAGGUAAAGCGAAUGAUUAGA